GAAUAUAAAAUUAUUUGUGCGGAGUAGAGGAUAUAGUUCUCGAAAAGGUUAGCUAGGUGACGGUUAGAAUUAAUAUUAGGGUAACCUGUGUUUUAAACGAAACUGCACGAAUAUCUUUCCAACUUUUGAUACGAUUUUGCACACCGCCGUCGGAAGAUUUAUUUUAAUGAAUUUGUCUUACUAUUAAAAUAUAAGUCAGGUCAAGGUGCAGACUAAAAGUUGGUCAACAUGUGUUGUUAUAAUCAUUUUACAAAUAUAGAUUGAAAUAUUUAUAUUUAGUAACUUAUAAGUAAAUAAAUUUAAUCAAAAUUCAUUGAAUAAUUUAAUUUUAAUGU
rnacentral:rRNA from 1 species